rnacentral:rRNA from 1 species
UACGUAGGGUGCGAGCGUUAAUCGGAAUUACUGGGCGUAAAGUGUGCGCAGGCGGCCGAGCAAGUCGAGUGUGAAAGCCCCGGGCUUAACUUGGGAAUUGCGCUCGAAACUACUUGGCUGGAGUGUGGCAGAGGAAGGUGGAAUUCCAGGUGUAGCGGUGAAAUGCGUAGAGAUCUGGAGGAACACCGAUGGCGAAGGCAGCACUCUGGGACGUGACUGACGCUGAGACGCGAAAGCGUGGGGAGCAAACAGG